rnacentral:tRNA from 1 species
ACUCCCAAAGGAUAAUAGUUAUCCGUCGGUCUUAGGAACCGAAGACUCUUGGUGCAACUCCAAGUGGCAGUU